UUCACCUGAUGGCUCCGAACAUCUCCGGUCAUUCGUCCAGCAGCGGUGCCGUUCGAACAUUUCAACCCGCUGCUUAGACAGCAGACAACAAAAACAAGAGCAGCCCCAAUGUUGUAAAACGGUCUGCUGUUACUGAUGCUACUUUAUCGAACGAAGCGCAGGUAAUUCUGCAGGGAGGUGAAAUUAUUGGUAGAGCCCUUGACUCAUCGAAGGCUCGUGCGAAUCGCUCUUUAUUCCUCCGUCGACUACUUACCAGGAUGUCGACUGGCAGCAUCGACGUCUGCUAUAUUUGACGGCAUCAAAAAACACGAUCAAUGUAUUAAUGGACAAACAGACGAAUAGUAUCUUUGGACUUGUACUUGACUAUGCCGAUGUUAACUCUUUGUGCCUUAAUCAUGGUCCACAUACGUAUACAGGUAUAAAACUGCUAUAUCGAUGUCCAAUGUGAAAUUGCCUUUGAAGCAGCAACUGUUGACGCCGGAAUGAACGAGCUUGUGACACUGAUCGAAUGUGGCCUGCUUUGCCAUCAGGAGUCCAUAUGGUGUCCGGGCUUCAGUCGCGCGUACGCAGGCGCCCCGCCAGAACGAUACGGAGUUGCCCGCCUUUGUCCUCUUAGCACCGCGGUCUAUCUUUCAGUUGGACCUGAGACUUACGGAACGUACAUGAGCCACCGGUGAUGCACGUACAAGAAGUAGCUUUUAUUGGGUAAUCUAUUCAAGGGGUGGCAAGCAGCAUUGACUAAGGAAUUUUUCCUAGGACAGAACUGAAAUGGCCGGAAAAGAAAUCAAUAGAUACGAAGAAACAACUAGUGUCGCUGGUGUAAGCCGGACAACAUGGCGAACGUUUCAGGGUGACCAGGAAUUCGGUACGUAUACGACAUGUGCUUCGAUACGCUGUUCUAUCGUUUAUUAAAAAUUCGGCUAACAGGGGCAAAAUAUGGGCCGGAAUGUGUCUCUAGAACCUGCAUAUCAUUACCGCAACGCUACUUGUGGGCACCCUACGCCUGAGUUUAAUUUGCUCUACACGAAUGAUGGCAAGUCAUUAAAUAGUUGGCUGGUCCUGCUUAUAUGAUUUUUCACUAUUUAAUUGCUACAAAUGCUGACGAAUGGUGUCGUCUGUUUUUCUAUAUAUCAGCUGUUACCAAAAGGACGUUGUUUUCUUUGCCGAAAUAGUCGUCAUUGUAAUAUAUCUGUGCAACACGAUAAUCACAAGAUAUGUUAAUAGCUGAAUAAACCAACUUAACGGAAUAGUACAUUAGAUAUUGUACAAUUAUCAGUAACCCUAACAUUUUUGGAUGAGUUACAGUUUCCAGUAGCCUGCAGGUGAGUUUCUUGCUCAAUUUACGUUUUAUUUGGGUUCAUACUUCGGCUAUGCAUAUGACAGUUUAUUAGUCCCCAUUUACCUUACUUUGACGACAAAUGUAAUAAACAUUUGGUCUACCGUUGUCGUGAUAAGCACUGAGACUCAUUGGUGGUAGCGAGAUUACUACUUCUAUAAAUCUAAGCUAUGCGAAAUAGUGAAUUGUAACUUUUCGAACCUUGUUCACAAGCAUAGUUGUACUAUUUUUGUUUUCAUUUGAAAUGUACAUUUUGAUACUUAAAUGGUAAUCCAUUAAAUAAAUCCGUUGCUGUAGAUACAGGGAAGGAGAACAUCUUGGAAAGCAGUUGCGCCAACGUGUUGAGAUUACGCCAAUCUCCUACUGAAAGGUUUUCAAAACUAUGAAAAAAUAACUUGUAAGAUCAAUGUUAAUUGAGUAUGGUGAAUGACAAGGAGCCUCUAACUGUAAUUUUCUUUUGCUGUGUAAAGUAGAAACUGUUUCGCUCUCUUUAUUGACAUUGAUUGCUCAAACCGUUCUAUGUUCAUCGUCUUCUUUAUGUUUUGAGAGCUUUCGUUUCAGCUAGGACGAACUAGGACACUCAUGGGGCUGCAGCGGAUCAGUCCUGCGGUAAAUCACCAAAUGGAGAUCAUAGGCAUUGCGGCUAUGUAUUUGCUCUCAAGCGAUGUAUCGCCUAUUUAGUUAAAUCCAACCUUUGAUGUGACUAUUCUAUUUUCUAGCUAUAAUCUAUUUUUUUUUUAUCACGGUCACAAUUCGAUGCCAUAAUAAGUUUCUGUCAGUUCAAGCGCUAACAGGCGUAGAUUUUGAGCUGCCAGUACAGCUUCAAGCAUUACGUUAUCAACAUCUGCAGAAGAUAUUUAUCAAGACCGAGAAAAGGUAUUACGGAAUGCCGGAGCAUUCAAAAUAGUUAUAUUUUGAAAUACAAAAUUAAUGAUUUUCUCAUUUUUUUACCGGAUAGUCUUGUAUACACAUAAUGAUUAAUGUAGAUAAAUAAUGCUAAUAGUAAUGGCUAAACUACAAAAUAGUUUGUAGUAUGUACUUCAAGUCUUAAAAAUACUUUUUUAAUAAUAUGUUUUCCGUAUUUUUCACGAAAGACCGAUGCUAAUUGCGGAUACAACCGGUAGAGUGAAUAAAACCAGUAAUCCGAAAUUGAUCGUUGCUUAAA